rnacentral:snoRNA from 1 species
AUGUUUAUGAUGAUAACUAUGAUAGGGACAUCUGAUUAUUAAUGAAUGAUUUAUCACUUUGUUCCAUAAGUACUGACUU